rnacentral:rRNA from 1 species
UCCGGUUGAUCCUGCCGGACCCCACUGCUAUCGGGGUGGGACUAAGACAUGCUAGUCGUGCGCCUCCAAGCCACGGUGGAGGCGCGGCGCACAGCUCAGUAACACGUGGCUAACCUACCCUUGGGACAGGGACAACCCCGGGAAACUGGGGCUAAUCCCCGAUAGGUGAGGACUCCUGGAAUGGGUCCUCGCUGAAAGGGCGUCUAGACCAUGCUUCUAGACGCUGCCCAAGGAUGGGGCCGCGGCCGAUCAGGUUGUUGGUGAGGUAACGGCUCACCAAGCCUAAGACCGGUACGGGCCGUGAGAGCGGGAGCCCGGAGAUGGACACUGAGACAAGGGUCCAGGCCCUACGGGGCGCAGCAGUCGCGAAACCUCCGCAAUACGCGAAAGCGUGACGGGGCCACCCCGAGUGCCGUCCGCUGAGGACGGCUUUUCCCCAGUGUAGACAGCUGGGGGAAUAAGGGGAGGGCAAGUCGGGUGUCAGCCGCCGCGGUAAUACCCGCUCCCCGAGUGGUGGGGACGCUUAUUGGGCCUAAAGCAUCCGUAGCCGGCUGGACAAGUCCCCUGUUAAAUCCAGCGAUUUAAUCGCUGGACUGCGGGGGAUACUGUCCAGCUAGGGGGCGGGAGAGGCCGGCGGUAUUCCCGGGGUAGGGGUGAAAUCUUAUAAUCCCGGGAGGACCACCAGUGGCGAAGGCUGCCGGCUGGAACGCGCCCGACGGUGAGGGAUGAAAGCUGGGGGAGCGAACCGGAUUAGAUACCCGGGUAGUCCCAGCUGUAAACGAUGCGGGCUAGGUGUUGGCACGGCUACAAGCCGUGUCAGUGCCGCAGGGAAGCCGUUAAGCCCGCCGCCUGGGGAGUACGGCCGCAAGGCUGAAACUUAAAGGAAUUGGCGGGGGAGCACCACAAGGGGUGAAGCUUGCGGUUUAAUUGGAGUCAACGCCGGG